AGAUAUUAGGGUUUUUCUUUCAAUAUCACCCUCCUUUCUCCACCCAAUUCUUUUCGUCUCGAUCCCUGAAACAAAUUCACACGGACGUACUAAGUAGGAUGAGAAGAUGAACGUAAAAGGUGUUAUUGCUAACGGUAACCUCACCGAUUUGCCGGAAUUCUAAUUAUGAUGAGAAGAUGAACGCAGGUGCUACAAAUCAAACUAAGUCGUAUCGUAAGUACUAUACAUCUCAUCGUUUCCGUGAAACACAACACACGAUUGUUCGAAUGAUGUUUGGUUUUGUAUAUUGUGUUUUGUUUGGGGGCCGAUGAUAUAUUGGAGGAUUUUAGCCCAAAUCUGGGCGAUCUGUGACUAAGCCCCAAAUCGGCCAACGUAAAGGAAUAAUUUCUGGAGUUGAGAAAUAGAUGUCAAAGUAAAGGAUUAAGUAGGUGCAAAUAGUUUAGAAACCGUUGUAGCAUUCCUUUCGAUCGUCGGUGACUACUUGGUUGCUAAUCAGUAUGAACCAAGAAGGCAUCUGAUAUGCUUCAAAUUGCGCGUAUUUAUGGUCCUAGGAUGUGUUUGGAUGAUGGGCGUGUUGUUAGCAACUUUGUUUCACAGUGUUCGUGAAUGAAAAGGUCCUCAUUUGGAUGUCCUCAAACUAAAGGCAAAUGACUCUCACCUAAGGUUAAGUAUAGUGGCAAGUGAUUAAAGUGUGGUGUUUCUACAACAAAUACUUGAGUUAGGGAUUGAUGUUGGGCAUAUUUGUUUUACACUACACCUGAGGUUUCCUGGUAGCAUACCAAAUAGCUUAUGGCUGCAAUUUGGGGAGUUUGGAAGAAAGGAACAACCAGCACUUGCAAUAUGUUGCAUUUGAAGGACCUGUUGAUUAAUAUUUAUAUAAAACAAUAUCCUCAUAAGCUAUUUGAAGGCCCGUUUGAAUGUAAUCUCAACCGCCACUCCAGCUUUGGUUUUCAAAUCUUGAUAUGAGGUAGAUUAGGAUUUAUUAUACGUAAUUUAGGAGUAGGGCUAUUGUAACAUUCCAUGUAAAAAAAGAAGGUAAUUUCAUCCAUGAGAAGCAUUUAUAGAUAAACAAAUGAUUCGCCACCUUU